rnacentral:rRNA from 1 species
UACAGAGGGUGCAAGCGUUGUUCGGAAUCAUUGGGCGUAAAGGGCGUGUAGGCGGUUUGUUAAGUCAUGUGUGAAAUCCCUCGGCUCAACCGGGGAACUGCGUCUGAUACUGGGUGGCUUGAAUCCGGGAGAGGGAUGCGGAAUUCCAGGUGUAGCGGUGAAAUGCGUAGAUAUCUGGAGGAACACCGGUGGCGAAGUCGGCAUCCUGGACCGGCAUUGACGCUGAGGCGCGAAAGCCAGGGGAGCAAACGGG